CGAGCCUCAGUUUCUGAUUCCACAACAAUUCAUCUAUUCACUCAUGUAUUUACUCAAUUGAAUUGUUGACGCUGCAAUUGCCAGCAACAUGCCCUUGACCUCCAGGACAGACUGGGUCUGUGAACUCUAAACCCUCAUGCAUAACUGUCCCUUAAACAUCUUUACUGAGGCUAAGCAGGGGUUCUCCAGCAGAGAUGGAAAAGAAGGGGUGCAGGCAGAGAAGACGACACAGCUCAGGUUCCAAGCUUGAGAAAGCAGAGGCUGCUUGGAGAACUGCAAGUUGCUCCACACGAUGAAGAGGAGCUGGGACAGCGCGGCUGGGCAAGGGCUUUGGGUGCCACGACAAAGGGUUCAGAUUUAUCCCGCAGGAAACUGGAAGUCAGUGAAUACUGCUAUGGCGGUGGUCCAGUGGAGGAAAUGGGAAGGAGGGGAUGAACAGAGACAUCGAGGAGGGUGCCUGGUCCGCCUUCCAUUUCUCUGCCACAUUUUGGUGCAGCACACAGCUCUCACCAGAAGCUGCCAGAUGCAGCCGUCCAAUCUGGAACUUCCCAGCCUGCAGAACCGUGAGCUAAAUAAACCUCUUUUCUUUAAAAAUUAUCCAGUCUCAGAUAUUCGAACAACAGAAAGUGGACUAAGACAAAGUAAAAAAAAGUAAAAAAAAAAAGGGGGGGGGGUGAAGUUAAUUUCAAUAAUAUAUUUUACUUAUUCUGAGAUAUCCAAAAUAUAAUCAACAAAAAGUUAUUGGGAUAUUUUCUUUUUGUACU
rnacentral:lncRNA from 1 species